UCAGAGAAAGCAUUCAAACACAACCUAACAUCUGAUGCCUUUUACUGUCUCAUGCUUUUCUGUGUUCCAGGGUCCGAUGUCACGAUAUGGCGCUUUUCCAAUGUAGGGUACAACUUGGCUCGGUACGAUGCAGCUCAGCUCGCUUUUGUUGCUUUUCCAGUACAGUUUAGUAGUGGUUGAGAUUAAAGGCAGGGGUGCACAUAACUGGUGCGUAUGUGCAAAUAGAAACAAUUCUAGCGUACCAGCGUUGCUGGAAUUUUGUUACAUAGUUAGCUAAUUUACUUUGACAUAAGGGAUUUCUUCGUGCAUCAGUGGUAAGAUAUUUAGUGUGUUGCAGUGAUCCGCAUCUCAAUGCUUCAGACAGCUUGCUAGUACAAGUAUACAUUUAUAUGAGUUAGGCUAGUAGUUAUUUAUAAAGAUUACAUAAGUAAAAAGCUAUAACUAAAAGGCUUAUUUUGUGUACAUCAUUGUCUACCAUGUUUAAACAAAAUAGAUAUGGCGAAGAGAGUAGUCAGGAGAAAAGUGAUGAUGUCAGCAUGUAGGAUGUCUGCGCUAUGAAUAGUGUGAGUACCAAGUAACAUCUCCAGGUGCUACUUUGAGAACCAGGACAAAAAAAGUUAUGUGCACCCCUGAUUAUAGGCUUAUUGUUACAGUUGCGUCCCCUCUACUGCCGUAACAUCAUCGUAAAUGCGAUACACACACACACACACACACACACACACACACACACACACACACACACACACACACACACACACACAACAUGGAGCAACAGAGCAUAUUAAUGGAAUGCAGCCACAAAAUCAAAAUUGACACCCACAAGUAGAUUUUCCACUACCUCUCUCACAUGACAGGUUCUGUACAAACACCUGUGUCAUCGGUAUGUGCACUCCGCUGACAGAACAUUUAUGCCUAUACUUUUGGUGCGUUUUGAAUGCGGAGCCAUGCGCAAAGUUACAAAAAUGCCAUGCAGACAUGGGUGCAGUGGUGUGCUCUGCAUUUUUGUAAAUUUGCACAUGGCUUCGCAUCCGAAACCCAUUACCCCUCUCCCAAAAGUCAGCUGUGCUGAACUGGGUCAUACUAUGCAAUGGAAAAGCAUCAAAAGUGUCCUACUUCCUGGCUUGAAGGAUUUAGCAGUUUCAGCGUUGGACUUGUGUUCCGCGUGUUUGGCCUCUUUAGCACUUGCUGUUUGAAAGUCAUUCCUUGCAACAGAUUGAGUGACUGUCAUUCUGCAUUUCUGUUUGCAUUGCUUUGCUUGCAUUUGAAUCCUUUGCAAUAAUAAAAGUUUUACAUGUGA